UACGUAGGGGGCUAGCGUUGUCCGGAAUCAUUGGGCGUAAAGCGCGUGUAGGCGGUCCGGUAAGUCCGCUGUGAAAGUCGGGGGCUCAACCUCGAGACGCCGAUGGAAACCAUCUGGCUAGAGUCCGGAAGAGGAGAGUGGAAUUCCUGGUGUAGCGGUGAAAUGCGCAGAUAUCAGGAAGAACACCCGUGGCGAAGGCGGCUCUCUAGUACGGUACUGACGCUGAGACGCGAAAGCGUGGGGAGCGAACAGG
rnacentral:rRNA from 1 species